UCCAAUUUUAGAGAUAGAUUCUCAUUUAAUUCUUGUUUCUAGUUGUUUUUUUUUAUCGUCCUUCGUCGACCGGUUUCUAUAAUUUAACAGCAUUUAUCAUGUAUUUAUAACUAGUUUUAGCCACGCUAUGGCUGAAAUACUGCCAAUGUGAUUAUAAACUUUAACUCUCUCACUCACUCUUCUUGGUGACAUAAGAGACAAAUCUAAAUGACGUCAUUUGAAAGUUGUCUCACUAACAACAUUCUGAUUGAAUCAUUUGGAAGAGCCAAUCUGAUUUACAUUUUCAGAAUCAAAGAAGAAACUUCACAACAAAAUGACCCAUUCGUUUACAAAGAUAACCGGUUUAGGUGUUCUCGUUGGUGGGCUUGUCGGAGUGGCGCUGACACUUAUCUUAGCGUUUGGGGUGUAUCUGUGUUUACAUUGUAGACCAUGCAGGAAUCACAGGUCUGUGAAGGAAGAGGAGACUAAAGACACAGAUAAAUCGCUGACUAAAGACACAGAAAACUCGCUGACCAUAAACAAGAGAAUCGAGACCUGUGUCUUGAACAUUAUGAAUGCAAUUACUGACAGGCAUUAGGACUUCAAUAAUCCUCCGGGAACUGACGAAAUGUUUCAAAAUGACAAACCAUACAUUCUAUGUUGAGGAAUAGCUAUUUCUCCGCUCAGUGAUCGAUAAUAGUAUAGUCAGAGUGUAUUUCUAUGCUAUGCUUUGCUUCUGUGAAUGCUUCAUUUAGAUAGUAUCGUUUCUCUGACUGGAACCACUAAGUGUCAUUUAUUCUCUUGCUGCAUGCACUCCAUUAUAAGGCACAGUGCUAGUUUUGAUACCAUGGCAAGAGGAGAUCCAGCGAUGUUGAGGCCAGGACAAGACCACUAAGCGAAGUGCUUCAAAUCCUAUACCCUUCCUAUUAACUGUGUGUUUUAAUGUUUUUGUAUAAUAUAUGGGUACUAUGAUGGAUGAAGCGUUUGCUCGUCACGAGGACACGGGUUCGAUUCCGUUCUCUUGCUUUAAACUCUCACAUAGGUUACAAUGUAUCGGAGCAUCGCAUUGCUACCAACCGCGUUGUUUUGUCGGCUGUUAAAUUGUCAAUCUUAUUUCACAGUGUUGCCCUUAAAGGACACGGAUCCAGUACACUAUAUUUUAUCACUUGAAGUACAGACCUCUAUCUUCUUUCCGAUCCUGAGUCAUUGUGAUUAUCUAGACAAUGUACAGAAAUCCGAUUCUUAAUACAGAUAGCAACUUGAAGUGUAAUAAGUAACUAAUCAUUGUAUAUUUAAAUACCAAUUACUCAGACGAAUAAUUGUAUUUUACAGGAAACACUAUCUAAAUGGACAAAAGUUAUGGAUACAAUGGUUGAAAAUCUAGCAGCAGUGUUUGCAUGCCAUAUACAAUAAACAUCUGUAAGAUUUCAAAAGAUUUGUGAAAUAUUAAACAGGCAACCU